CCCCACACACCGCCACCCUCACCCCGAAAUGAAUCCUUUUAACAAUGUAACAAGUCUUCUGAGGGACUCUCCUUCCAGCUUCAAUAACGUUAGUUGUGACAAGGAACGGAGGGUUUUUGUGCUGCUCUGCUAGGCGGCUCGUUCACUAUGCCCUCUGCAGGCCGCAGUAUAUUUUCCCCAUGUUUUAAGUCAUGAUCUGCAACAAAUGAGUAUUUUAAUUGUAUUAUUUAUCUAUAUCUUUUAAUUCAUAUUGUUUUAUACCUACUGUACCACAAAUGGAUUUUCUUUCUUUCUUUCUUUCUUUCUUUCUUUCUUUCUUUCUUUCUUUCUUUCUUUCUUUUAUUUUUACCCAUAAGUAGCCAUAAAUUGUGACUCUUGGGCCAAAAUGUUUGCCCGCCCCUGAUUUAGGAUAAGGGCUAGAGUUGACGUUCAAAUGUACCCUUAGAUUUAGGAUUUAAGGUUAGGGUUCGGGUUCGGAUUAGCAUUAGAUUUUGGGUUACGGUUAUAGCCUGGUUGAGGUAAAAGGUUUGGGGUAGGUUUAAGAGAAUCCAUGGGAGCCCAAAGUCCUUUGAAAAUCCCAGUCGAUUUACCUAGGAGAUUCAAUAUCCAACUGCUAAGAAUAAAACACUUCCCCAUGAUUUCUCCCUUAGCGACCUAGGCUUUACGUUCCAAGACGUGGCUGCGAGGAGCAAUCUAAUCUUCACGUGUCCGAAGGCAGCUCCGGCUAGGGACGGUUCAACAGAAACCAGCUGAGUGGAAGAAAGAGGAGUUUGGGGGAGCUCAAAACAGACACAGGAAACAUGCUGGGUUCAGAUUAGUCCGCAGCUGAAAUCCUGGCAAGACUGUAGGAGAUUUUCCCAGGAGAUUAAAUAUCCAAAUAAUAAGAAUACAACACCUCUCUUCCUGUCUAAGCUAAUACUUAGUCCUGCCAGGAGUGCAGGGGACUGGACUAGAUGACCUCUCAAAGUCCCUUCCAGUUCUACGAUUCUAUGAUUCUCCCACAGGGACCAAGUUUGGCCCUCUCAGAUGUUGCUUCAAAGAGGAAACUAACCUUCAAGUCUCUGCAGGAAGCUACAACUUGGGAAAGUUCAAGAGAACUCAGGCUGGACAAAGAAGGAGGGAGUUGGAUAAUUCCUAAGAGGUUCAGAAAACACGCUGCAUACAGCUGUCCCCAUGGGUGGCAGAUUUAUCCCACACCACUUCGCACCUCUCCGGAGCAUGCACUGUGGGAUGUGGUUCGGAUACCGACAGUGCAAGUAAAGACAGAAGUCAGGAUACCCACUACUUCAGGAGCAUACGAGCGUCACCGUGUCUCCUUCUUCUCCAGGCAUCCGAGAUCACUGAACCGGACUGACUCAGCCAACCCAGCAUCUGCCAAAAGACAGUCAAAUCCCAGGACUCAUUUCAGCUGCGCUUGACUGACUGAACGGGUUUAAGACACUGAAUUUCAAACACGCGUAAGCCCUUGAGGCGCCUAAUUGAUUAAAACGCAAGUUCAGGGCUCAGGUUAGGGUUGGAGCGUGGUUCGGGCUGAGGGUUAGGGAAGGUGCUUGUACGGAGGUUUAUUGUUAGGGUUCGGGACCAAUGGGAGUUGGGCUCCUAAAUUUCUCAGAAAAAAAUUGAACAUUCGAGUCUUUUUACCUAGGUGCUUAAAUAGUCAAACAAAGAGAAGAAAACACGCCUCCAUUUCGAUUGGAUUUUUUGAGGGCAUUUCAAACCAGAGCUUCACCUAAUCACAGUCAUACUAGUUAGCCACGUUUCAGUUCCAGUAUCUCUUGCUUUUCGUAAUUUUGAACCCUAAGUCGGUAUCUGUCCAGUUUAGAGCUAGGAAGGGUUCCCUGGUCUGGAUCCACUCGCCCAAGCACCCCACCUGAAACAAGACAAUCACAUCGAAGGAGAUCACCUCAACUGUUCCUGACACAUAGGCCAGGUCUGACACUUCCAGAUGUUGCUCGGAACAGAAUCUGCAGCUACAGCGUGGGGAACAUCGACCAGAAUCCAGCCCGGAGGAAGAGGGAGGAAUUUGGAGGGAAAACUCUAAACAGACACAAGAAAUAGACCGGGUUCAGGGUAGUCUGCAUUUGACGCUAGAGCAGAGAGGGAGGGAAGAAGGAUGGGGCUGUGGUGGAGAAGGCUGAGUUCUGGGAAGCAGGAGAGCUGGUCCCAGUUUCUCAGGUCUGCCACAAAGUCCCUCGGAGAAUUUGGUAAUUUCACUCAGUCUGUCUGUGCCUUAGUUCUCCAUCUGUACAGAGGAAUGAUAAUAUUUCUCUGUCUGACCAUGGAGAUUCUGAGGAUAAGUCCUUUUGAAUCACUCAGAUAUUAAAAUGACGGGGAUCAUGUAGUAUAGACUAGUAAUGUAGACUGGGAUUUAGUCGGGCUCCUAACAUGCCUCCUAACUCUCCCCGGCUCUCGUGAAUUGGGAGGAAUUGUUUAAAAGUCUUGGUAUGUUUAUUGUCAUUCCAGCUACAAUGGGAGAACAUUCAAAGUCUGUAGAACAGUGGGAGGGUUUCAACUCGCAACACGUAUUUAUUCGAUUCACCAGUAGAUGGCGCUGCUCUGGCAUUAUCUCACCACACUCAUCGAAGGCAUCGCUUGAAGCGAACGGGGGCUGUACUUUUUUAGAGAGUAACACAAAGGAAUGUCAGUUACCAAACCAAUCAGCCCAUCACUUGGAUUUGUCACCGAUUGGAAUAUUCGUUUUACUUUGGUGGCGUGGUAAAGGGCAGCUUCACCCAGUCAGACACGUCUCUAAUUAGGUAUUUUGACCGCAAUUGUUAAAUAACGUGUAACCCACAUUUUCCACAAAUAGGGUUUUUAAACAGUAUUUUUCUCACUCAUUUUCUGUCUAAUUUUACCACAAAUAAAGACUUCAAUUGCAUUUGUUAUGUAAAUUUUAAUCCACAUAUUUGCACACCGCAGUUUAAUACAAAUGAGCAAUUUUUUUUUGUCCCACACUACACACUGAGAGGCCCGCUGGAGAACUGUGGAGAGAAAUGUCGAAGAUGUUUCCUGGUUUAGCUCGUGCCCUUUAUAUUCUCCAAGCGUGACAGUUGAAUGUAGCUCUUUAAUAAGUACUUGACUCUUGGGAGGAGCUAGAACAGAUAAAAUGAGGUCCCGUAUUCAACCCAAAAUAUGUGGUUGUACAUGGUGGAAGGAGUCCCCUCCGGGGAUCUGCAAGCAGCAUUAAUCUCUGAACAUCCAAUGAAGCAGGGCUGGGAGGGUUUUUGUUCGGCUCUCCUAUGUGAUUCUGUUACUGUGCCACACCCAGGGCGCAGAGAUACAGCGCUGUGUCUGCCGGCUCCAGGGCUGUGAUGCUCAGAACUGUGGAGCUGUCAUCCGCCUGGGAAGAAAAUCUCUUCUUGGCGAAACCUGCGGUAUCACUGUCACCUCUGGCCUGCUUCACUCCUCUCCAGAGAAUGUACUGCGGGGCUUGGUUGGGAAACUGACGAUACCAGAAGAGAUAGACGUAGCCGGUAGAGCUGGUCUCAUAAGAACAAGUGAGGGUCACAGCGUCUCCUUCUCUUCCAGAGAGGCGGGGUUCCCUGGACUGGACCGAGUCCCCCAGCACAGCACCUGCAAGAAAGCAAUGAAAUUUAAGGACAUGAUUUCACUUGUAUCUGACUCACCGAGGCUGCUCCAGGUGCAUGGCGGUGUAAGACUGGCAAUUUCGAAGAACCCUAAGGGGUUUAGGCUCCCGAUUACCAUUAAAUUAAGGACUAGACUAAAGGUAAGGGUUUGGCAUUCGGGUUUAGGGUGAGGCUGAGAGUCAGGGUUCCAGAUAGGGUUGAAUGGUAGUAGCAAUUUUAACUUCCUUAGACCCCUCAGAAACCUCCGCG